UACAGAGGUGGCAAGCGUUGUUCGGAAUUACUGGGCGUAAAGGGCGCGUAGGCGGCCCGUCAAGUCCCGUGUGAAAUCCCGCGGCUCAACUGCGGGUCUGCAGUCGAUACGGGCAGGCUAGAGUUCGGUAGGGGAGACUGGAAUUCCUGGUGUAGCGGUGAAAUGCGCAGAUAUCAGGAGGAACACCGGUGGCGAAGGCGGGUCUCUGGGCCGAUACUGACGCUGAGGAGCGAAAGCGUGGGGAGCGAACAGG
rnacentral:rRNA from 1 species